UACGGGGGGGGCAAGCGUUGUUCGGAAUUACUGGGCGUAAAGGGCUCGUAGGUGGCCAACUAAGUCAGACGUGAAAUCCCUCAGCUUAACUGGGGAACUGCGUCUGAUACUGGAUGGCUUGAGUUUGGGAGAGGGAUGCGGAAUUCCAGGUGUAGCGGUGAAAUGCGCAGAUAUCAGGAGGAACACCAAUGGCGAAGGCAGCACUCUGGGACGUGACUGACGCUGAGACGCGAAAGCGUGGGGAGCAAACAGG
rnacentral:rRNA from 1 species